CCGCCCUGCCCCGUGGACCCUCUCGGCUGCCGCCUCCCCUCGCCCACCUCGAUGGCCACUGUUCGGGGGUGGGGAAAGGCCGGCCCGACGCGUGGACUGCGGGUCUCGCUGACUGCUUUAGGGUUAUCAACCAUCCUGAUCUGCCCAAGGCUGAGGUGUUUCCCAGGAUAUGAGACUUUUACUGCUAAAACCAGGAUAGUCCCAGACAAAGCAGCAUGACCGGUCACCCUACUUGCUGCCCUGAGACUGUCACCAUCCUUGAGGAUGAUAGUUCCCAAGGAGAAAGUGACCCAGUCAACAUCCAGCACCAUCAACAUGUGAUUUAUCCAACCCCAAUCCAGUCACCAGAUAAUAACAAAUGCAUCAGUCAAUUCUAGCAGAAUCAUCCAGCCAAACUUAUCUCAAAUUGCUUUUUUCCAUUGCAGUUUUUCUGUACAUUAAAAAAAAAAUUGCUGUUCUACAUAACUGU